rnacentral:lncRNA from 1 species
UCGUCUGUCCCGUACUGCGGUCUUGCAUAAUAAAGAGUCAUCAAUAAAAUAUAUUCCGCAAUGGAGGGCACGAGUCAAACGACUAACAGAUGCAAGAUUAAAAGGACAGCCAGGGAUAUAAAGAACGGAAUCUAGAGUGACAGAGGGUGGAGGAUUGCACAAACCAUAUAAGGAGACCAAUGACCUCAAAUCCCUCCGAUGUUGGACAACUCAACACCCCCUUCACGCCCAGAUCUAUGGAGCAUGGACAACAUAAAUGGGAGCCCAAUAUCGGUAACAAUAAUUUGGAUGAGUCUGGCUCUGAUACCAUGAUAAGAAUGGACCUUGGGCCUAAACCCCAAAAGCUAGCUUAUGAGUUGAGG